rnacentral:rRNA from 1 species
GAUCCUGGCUCGGAAUAAACGCUGGCGGCGUGUCUUAAGCAUGCAAGUCGGACGGCAAGCCGCCUUCGGGCGGCCUAGAGUGGCGGACUGGUGAGUAACACGUGGGUGAUAUACCUUUUGGACGGGGAUAGCCCCUAGAAAUAGGGGGUAAUACCGGAUAAGGCCGUGCGGGUUGGAGCCGCACGGGGAAAGGCGCUAUGGCGCCGCCGAAAGAAUAGCCUGCGACCUAUCAGCUUGUUGGUGAGGUAAAGGCCCACCAAGGCG